rnacentral:rRNA from 1 species
UACGGAGGGGGCUAGCGUUGUUCGGAAUUACUGGGCGUAAAGCGCACGUAGGCGGCUUGGUAAGUUAGAGGUGAAAGCCUGGAGCUCAACUCCAGAAUUGCCUUUAAGACUGCCGAGCUAGCAGGUGAGAGGUGAGUGGAAUUCCGAGUGUAGAGGUGAAAUUCGUAGAUAUUCGGAAGAACACCAGUGGCGAAGGCGGCUCACUGGCUCAUACUGGACGCUGAGGUGCGAAAGCGUGGGGAGCAAACAGG